rnacentral:rRNA from 1 species
UACGUAGGGUGCAAGCGUUGUCCGGAAUUAUUGGGCGUAAAGAGCUCGUAGGCGGUGUGUCACGUCGGCCGUGAAAACCUGCAGCUUAACUGUGGGCGUGCGGUCGAUACGGGCAUCACUGGAGUUCGGCAGGGGAGACUGGAAUUCCUGGUGUAGCGGUGAAAUGCGCAGAUAUCAGGAGGAACACCGGUGGCGAAGGCGGGUCUCUGGGCCGUAACUGACGCUGGAGGAGCGAAAAGCGUUGGGGAGCGAACAGG